CAAACCCUUUCAGCUGUCAUGAGUGCCUGAGCUCCCUUUAAAGCACUGCGGUGAAAAAGCCCCCAUAUGCUUUUGCAGUUGAAGAGCAGAAAAACAUUUUUGCAUUAAGGCAAUAGUUGUAGAGUUACUUCAGGAGGAUGAAGAUAAGAGAUGAGAUUCAGCCCUCUUCUAGUUAUAAUCUACCUUCUCAUAAAGCUGCUGACUUACCCUGAGCCAAGAAGAUGUCCAGAUGCCAUGUGAUCAAUAUGAAGCAAAACCAAAGGAUAGUGAACUGAUUCCAACUAUGCAAAAGAUUUCAGGCCCAAGAAGGCAGGGGAGACACACGACUGCAGGUGAUAUUCUGUGUUGCUGUAGUUUAAUGGCUCUUACCUCUCCUUGUCUGGUCUAUUGUGAAAAAUACCUCCUGUCAUCCUGGAGUAGCUUGCCUUCAUGCAGACACUGUGUGGGUUUGUACAGACGGGCUUUAAGAACAGCUCUUGGAGCAUCUCUCUGGUGAGAGGAAGUGGCAUGGGAUGGGUCACGGGGGACAGCAGUAUUUGGGGAAGGUCUUGGGGAAAGACAGACACCUUGUUCUGAAAAACCUCAUCUCCACCUGCUCUGGCAUCCACCUUUGGGGCAAACCCACCUGCCCAUGGCCCAAGUUCAACAACGUGACUUGAAAGACUUUGGUGUCUCUCCUGCUGUGGCCUCCAUGCUCCGGCAGGGUCCUGCCAGCCACCCCUCCCCUGAGCAGAGCUGCUCCCAGACAGUCCCUGAAGAAGAGCCAGAAUCCAACACCCAGCAAACCCCCGUCCUCAGCACCGUUCAGCACCCCAGAGCCACGGCCCAGCACUGCAGCAGGGCCCCAGAGCACACCCGGAGCAGCCCCCAGGGCCGGCACAGCUGCUCGCUCCUGGGCCAGGCAGCUCGCUCUGGAGGAGCCUGCCUGGAGGCCAUGUGAAUUCCCGCCACGCAAAAACAGGUGUUGCUCAAACACUUGGGCUUCAGCUUCAUUUGUGCCAUCUGAGGCACCAAACAGCCAUGACAGGCUCAGGUAAUGUUUUCUGCACACAGAUGGGGAAACCUUACUCCAUGGUCCUACUCCUGUCACUGUCCCACACUGACCACAUUAUUCUGAGGGCACCAGAUAACCUUCCCCAGCUGCAAACACACAUUUGUGGAUUCCCAUGCUAAAUUUCUGGAGUAUGGAAGACAGGAGGUCAUCUCAAUACCUCGAUGAGAGCACCCAUGUGGUCUGCACUGCCUUGGAGCGGGGUGAGAGGGGAGGAUGGGGGCAGCAGUCCUGCCCUCCUACUGUGCUGGUUGGCAGAGGAAAUGGAGAGGUCAGUGCCUGAAUUUUGCUCACCAUAACCUUCAUCGGGAAGCUUCUAGCCCUCUUCAGUUCCUAACCACAUUCUUCACUUUAUUACAGCUGCAUUUGUUGGAGGGCCCUCACGUUGCACCAGUAAGAGAAAUAAAGGGGCAACCAAUGUCACCACUGCCACAUUAAUUUUUACAGGCCACAGCAGUAGUGACAGAGCAAUGCAGAGUUUUUUAUGUCUGCAGCCAGCAGAAUCUAAAAGGACACCUCUGUUUCCCUUCCUGACUACAAUCAUUGUGAGCCCUGAGGCAGCAGGAGCCACCAUGGAAGGGAUGCCUGUGGCGAGCAGCGGGUUAUGCUAACAGUUUUAUAACCUGCUGAGGAGGACGGCAGGGAGGGGAACACAAACUUCCACUCCAAAUCAGACACCCCCUUAAUUUUAUGCUUUCUCUGGACAUACAGUAGCACAGCUACUCAGAAAAUCCAGACCUGGCCUCCUGCCCAUUGUUCAAGCCGUUUAAUUUGUUUUCAUGAUGGGAAAGUGAACAACAUGUCCAUGAGGUAACACCAAUGUCUUGUCAUCUACUGACUGCACCUCCUCCACUUCAAGUUCUUACUCCUGUUCUUGCGUAUGUACCACAUACAUUUUGUCACUGUAAAAUGGUCUGUGAAGUCUGAUUAGAACAAUUCUCAUUUGUAAGGGGAAAAGCAGAGAACUCCAAAGAAAACCUCCUGUGCUGACUCCUCUUCCGAGAAGAAAGCAGAGACUGGGAAAAGCAACAGCAAGAGAAACAGAAAAAAGAAAUUGACAACCAUACAGAAGCAGGAAUGGCAAUGGGUAGCUUUGGGAAAUUUUAGCUUUUCCUUUGUCCUUUUAUUUUUGUGGGAGACCUCUAUCCCUAAAAUCCAUGAAAUAUUAACCAUGACAUCUGCUGAAAAAUCAAGAAUGAAAAAUGUAAUGCUGCAAACAACGCAAUGACCAGAGAACACACCUAAACAAUUCUCUCGGAAAACACCAGAGUGCACUACUGUGUAGCUGUAGUCAAUUCAGACUAUGUUGCUUUAAACUUUGUCCAGUUGAUCUUGAAAAGCUCCACAGAUGGAGAUUCCAGAGCUGCUCCGAGGAACCCACUCCUGUGUUUAUCCUCCUUAAUGUUCUCCCUUUCACUUAGUCAGAACCUCACCUCUAUCAGUUUUUGGCCAGGAUCUCUUCUCCUAUCACAUACAUCAGUGAAGAGCCUGGCUCUGUAUUCUCUAUGGCUUUCUCAUAUGGAUUGAGGGUCAACUAUUAGGUUCCCUCCCCAAGUCUUCUCCAGGCUGAACAAAACCCAUUCCCUUGGCCUUUUCUCACAGGAGGGUGCUUCAGUCCUGACCAUCUCGAUAGCUCUCCAUUAGACUCACUCUAAUCUUUUUUGGAUCUUAACUAUGUGUGUCAAAUUCACAGGUUCUCCAAAUGCUUCAUUUUGCUUUUCUUGGAGGCUUCCCUUAUCAAAAUAGCAAAUACUUGUGAUGCUUCUAUGGCAACCUAAACAUGAGGAUUCUGAGGCAGGCGGACACCUCACACUGCACUGAAUUAUCAGCAGAAGUAGCAGGCCUGGGUAUCAAUGGUCUCACCUGCAGGAAUCCAGACAAACUUUUUUGUCUGCUGUUCCUCUGUCAGGAAAAUAAAGACAAAUUCCACCUCCACUUGGAUGGACUUCCUGAGAUACUUACAUAUACAGGACUAACUAGUUUACCUCAAAGGAACUAACAGCAGGUCUCAUUCAUUCAUGAGGUACCUCAAGAUUUCACUAAACCCACCACAAACACUUCUCAAUUCAUCCUUUCAUUAAUGAAUAGCACUUUCAUACUCAGAAGGAAACGGAACUGUCACUACUGUAAAUUUCUGGUGCUAAACACAAUUAAAUGGUAAUGUAGCCAAAACAGUCAUGGUGCUCUUACACUGAAGUGGGGUAUUUCAGUUAACAUCCAAUUUUUAAAUAUUUUGAAAGUGACCAUUAUAUUUAACUGACUUGCUCAGGGUGCAUAGCAUUGCCUAAUGAAAUGCAAUCCAUGGCAUGCAUCACCUUGGUCCCAAAAUCUUCACCUCUUUCUAAAAUGUGGUGCUUAACUAUGAUCCGGAGUAUGUUACAAAAAGCAUUUCAUUAAAGGGGGGCCAUUGGUGCAA